AUUGAACGCUGGCGGCAGGCCUAACACAUGCAAGUCGAGCGAGCGGCGGACGGGUGAGUAAUGUAUGGGGAUCUGCCCAAUGGAGGGGGAUAACUACUGGAAAGGGUGGCUAAUACCGCAUACCAUCAGAUGACCCCAUAGGGGAUUAGCUUGUGGGUGGGGUAACGGCUCACCCAGGCGACGAUCCUUAGCUGGUCUGAGAGGAGGACCAGCCAAACUGGGACGGGGACAAGGCCCAGACUCCUACGGGAGGCAGCAGUGGGGAAUAGUGGACAAUGGGGGGAAGCCUGAUGCAGCCAUGCCGCGUGUAUGAAGAAGGCCUUCGGGUUGUAAAGUACUUUCAGUCGGGAGGCGUUACCGACAGAAGAAGCACCGGCUAACUACGUGCCAGCAGCCGCGGUAAUAC
rnacentral:rRNA from 1 species